rnacentral:lncRNA from 1 species
GAACUUUCCAGCUAGAGUUUGACCUAAGGAAGGAUUUCAAAACUUACCCCUGCAAUGCUUUAACAGCAUUCAAGUCAAAUGGAGGCUUUUCAUACAGUGAAAUCCACAGUAGCUCUCUGUGGUAUGUAGGGCUACUAGCCAGAUAUACCUGAAAGCAAGCGCUUGCCUUGCUCUCCCUCUGCCACAGAACGAUGACACAGGGAUAACAAAGGGAAAUACCAGGGAAUGUCAAGUCAAACAAAUCGUAGAUCUUCUCUGGCGGCUUCUUUGACCUUGUUCUGAGUGAACACCGUGUACAUCAAGGAAGAUAAUUACAACUUUUUCAAGUCUUCUAAAAUCGAAUCCAUUUGGAGUUCUUUCUGAUGCAUUAUGUGAGAAAAACAAGCAAACAAAUGAACACUUAUUUGUAUUUGAAUUGCACUAAAUUUAUACAUGAAACUGAAAAAAACUGAUAUCUUUAUGAAGCUGCAUAAUCCUAUCCAAGGACAGACGUCUCCUUCCAUUUGCUUUUGCUUUACUAAUUUGAAUCUAUGUUAUUUGUUUUGGAUACAUCUGGAAUUGACUUUUUUGCAUGGUGUAAGAAAUAACAGUUCUUCCUGGAUCAGCCCUCUCCCGUCUGUCAUCUCCAACAGAUACAAAGCCAGCUUUAAGAAGACCAAACCUACAAAAAUCAUUCAUGCUUUCUGCCUCCAUGUUUUUCUUUCCAACCUAGUUCCUCCAGAAAAUGUAAAAGAGCAACCGAACCGUCAACUGGUACAAUGACUUCUACACAUCAGACCUCGGCCACGCCACAGUCAUCAGAUUAUUCUAUCACAGGGUCUCUCAACCGUGGAAUAUGGUCUCCAAGGGAAACAAGCCACAGAGGGCUCAGGAGCAUUGCUAUAAAGAGUAGGCAAAUGGAAAUCUUUCCCCAAAGGGCACACUGGGAUUGUUAGGCGAGGGCUGCUCAAUCCAUUAAAAGUUUAAACUCGAAAAAAAAAAAGAAAAAAAAAACCUUUUGAAAAAAUACAGAAAGCAACCUGUUCUAGAUUUUGUGUAUAAAAGAGAGUUUAUUCAGGGGACUGAAAUGUUGACAGUGAAUCAACUGGGAGGAUAUUUUCAAUCAGAACCGUCUGACUGACAGCUUUCAUAUUAUUAAUGCACAUACUAGGAGACAUCAAAUUUGAAGGGCAGGCAUUGUGCUAAGUCAGACUUCUACCUUAAAAUGCAUUACAUUUUGUCUGUAAAUCAAGGUCAGUUAUUAAAUUAAGGUGCUCUCAUCCCUAAAUACUUUAUUCCAUCAUCGUGUGUAAUUAAUCACAAACCCCUUACUUGGGGUUCUUUAGAAAGUGAUGAGCAAAACCCAUAAAAAAUUAAGAGAAAAAAUAACAGGUAUCUUUUAAAAAACAGGGAAUAAGUGCAAGGAAAUUUAAGUAUAAGUAAAAAAAUUUGCACGAUUCUUUAAAUAGAUAAUAGAUAUAAUAAUAAUAAUUUUGCAGCCCUACAAUUCCACAGCAUAUUAAUCUUUUCAAAUCUGUUAUUUUUCACCAUUAAAACAAUCAUGUAAAACAGGUGGAGUACUUCAAUAUUCCAAUUUCACAGAUGCAUACACUGAGUCAAGGAAAAGUUAAGUAUCUAUUAAGUCAUCCAGCUUACUGGAUAUGGAACUGAGACUUGAAAGCAUAUCUUCUAAAUCCGACCUCUUCUCUAAAGAUAGUGUCACCUUUCUCCAAAGAUAGUGUCAGGACAUAGAAAGCAGAAGUUAAACUGUAUGCGCUAUUCUGCCUUCCAUACUUAUUUUUCCCAAGAAGUAAUUUAAAAAACACAUUGGAGAUAAUGCUUGUGAAGCACUUUGCUAAAUGCUAAAUUGUCCGAACACUUUGGAAAAAAGUGGCAGUUUCUUAAAAAAUUAACAAAGAAUUACCAUAUGACCCAGCAAUUCCACUCCUAGCCAUGUACUGAGGAGAACUGAAAAUAUAUGUCCAUGUAAAAACUUAGAGUUAAAUAUUUGUAGCAGCUUUAUUUAAAAUAGCCAAAAAGUGGAAACAACCCCCCAAAAAUGUGCCUCAGUGAUGGAUGUAUAAAUAAAACAUGUUGUAUACAUAACAAUGAAAUAUUAUUUAGCCACAAAAAGAAAUGAAGUUUCUUUUUAUAUUAGUUGGCCAUAAAAAGAAAUAAAGAGUUUUUUGUUUUGUUUUGUUUUGUUUUUUUGUAGCAUGUACUGACCUGGAAAACCUCAUGCUAAGUGAAAGAAGGCAGUUACAAAGGACCACAUAUUUUUGAUACCAUUUAUAUAACAUGUCUAGAACAGGCAAAUCUAGAGAGAUGGAAAGUAGGUUAGUGGUUGGCUAGUACUAGAGUAAGCAAGCAGGGAUUGGAGGGUAUUGGCUAAGGAAUACAGGGUUUCUUUCUGUGGUGCUUUUCUUAAAAAGUUCUAAAAUUGAUUGUUGUGUUGUUUGCACAAUGCUGUGAAUAUCCUAAAAGCUACUGAAUGAUACACUUUAAAUGGGUGAAUUAUAUGGUAGGUAGAUUAUGUCUCAAUAAAACUGUUAAAAAACACAAAA